rnacentral:rRNA from 1 species
CCUACGGGAGGCAGCAGUGAGGAAUAUUGGUCAAUGGACGAGAGUCUGAACCAGCCAAGUAGCGUGAAUGAUGACUGCCCUAUGGGUUGUAAACUUCUUUUAUAUGGGAAUAAAACGUUCCACGUGUGGGAUUUUGUAUGUACCAUAUGAAUAAGGAUCGGCUAACUCCGUGCCAGCAGCCGCGGUAAUACGGUGGAUCCGAGCGUUAUCCGGAUUUAUUGGGUUUAAAGGGAGCGUAGGUGGAUUGUUAAGUCAGGUGUGAAAGUUUGCUGCUCAACCGUAAAAUUGCAGUUGAAACUGGCAGUCUUGAGUACAGUAGAGGUGGGCGGAAUUCGAGGUGUAGCGGUGAAAUGCUUAGAGAUGACGAAGAACUCCGAGGGCGAAGGUAGUUCACUGGACUGCAACUGACACUGAGGCUCGAAAGUGUGGGUAUCAAACAGGAUUAGAUACCCUUGUAGUC